UACGAAGGGGGCUAGCGUUGCUCGGAAUCACUGGGCGUAAAGGGUGCGUAGGCGGGUCUUUUAAGUCAGGGGUGAAAUCCUGGAGCUCAACUCCAGAACUGCCUUUGAUACUGAGGAUCUUGAGUUCGGGAGAGGUAAGUGGAACUGCGAGUGUAGAGGUGAAAUUCGUAGAUAUUCGCAAGAACACCAGUGGCGAAGGCGGCUCACUGGCCCGAUACUGACGCUGAGGCACGAAAGCGUGGGGGAGCAAACAGG
rnacentral:rRNA from 1 species